CCAACAAUGUCACCCAUCUACCCCAACAAUGUCACCCAUUGGGUGUCCCCAGCAGUGUCACCCAUUGUCCCCAACCAUGUCACCCACUGUCCCCAACCAUGUCACCCAUUGUCCCCAACAGCGUCACCCAUUGGUUGUCCCCAACGUCACCCAUUGUCCCCAACAGCGUCACCCAUUGUCCCCAACAGCGUCACCCAUUGGUUGUCCCCAACCAUGUCACCCAUUGACCCCAACCAUGUCACCCAUUGACCCCAACCAUGUCACCCAUUGUCCCCAGCAGCGUCACCCAUCGGGUGUCCCCAACAGUGUCACCCAUUGUCCCCAACCAUGUCACCCACUGUCCCCAACCAUGUCACCCAUUGUCCCCAACAGCGCCACCCACUGUCCCCAACAAUGUCACCCAUUGUUGUCCCCAGCAGCGUCACCCACUGGUUGUCCCCA
rnacentral:lncRNA from 1 species